GGCUGCAUUAGUAAGGGCGAGGGACUGGGAGUAGAGGGAGCAGUCAGUGAAAGCGAUUUUAUUUCGCAGUUAGCAUGAGCUCAUCCCCAGCUGAGGUCUGAAGUGGCAGCAGAAAGCUAGCUGAUCGCCCUGUUCCUGCCACUGGCCGGACUGCAAACGCAUUUAGGAGGUGCACAAAAAUUGCCAGGAGGAAACCAACUCUGCGGGGAUCACGUCAGCAGGCGGGGUCUCCCUAGUGGGGCGGGUACCCCAUGCCUCUGAUGGAGACCGGCUACAGGUCGGAAAUUCAACCCCAAAGAAAUGGGCAAUUAGCAUCCACAUGCGAGUAAACCCCAGCCCUCAGUUGAAGAAGGGGCUUCUUGAGGUCUUCGCGAAUAUUUCCACCGAGUCGAGGUUUCCUAGGUGGCUUGGGCAUGGGAAGCAGGGGAGUUGAGAAAUGCCAUUUUUCAAAGCAUCUUCUCAUUUUUCAUAUUCCGUGUGCCUAACCUGCUCCCCUAGGAGCCCAGGCACUUUUACAAGCCUGUUUCCGACCAUAUUUCACUCUAAUGCAAACCCAUUUAAAUCAUCGCCUUGUUUUUCCGAAGAUUGCUUCUUGUAAAUGGGACCAUAAAUCCGGGGAGUCAGGUCAGAUGGAGUGGAGCAUGGACAGGGGAAGACAUGAAAGAGGAGUAAACUAAGCAAGGAAGAUACCUCCUUGGGUGGGGUGGGAGGGAUUCGGCAGGAUCUCCAGGGAAGAAAUGCCGGAGUGCUGGCCUGACCCCUGCAACCCACGAAGUCCAAACCAGCCUUUAAGGUUAGAGCGCAGGGAGCCAUAGAAUGCUCCUCCCCAAAGGGAGCGCCCCCCUACCUGGAAAAGCCUCAAGAUGUUGGCUACCAUGAUGGAGACGGAGCUCCCCGAAGCCCCAAUCACUCCAACUACUUUCUCUGGCUUGACGAAAACCGGGGGCUCGCCGUUGGUGCAGCGCACGUCGGAGGUGUCCUUUUGGAUGAGCGCCUGGACGAAAGUGAGCGACUGUUCGAGCGCAUAAGUGUCCCUGGAACAAGUGUCCAGGAUCCGCGCGCCUAACGUUACGUUGGGCAGCAGGGCACUCCGCUGGGACCCUUGGCGUGCACUGGGAACAGCCCCCCAAGGGUGACGUCCCCCUCGAUCCGGAUCGAGUGCGGGGCGUACAUCUCCUGGCCGCGCGCCGCCGCCGCCAGCACGCACAGGAGCACCUCCAGCACGCAGCAGGGGAACUUCAUCAAAGUCAGGACGCGGAGCAGCUUCCCCAGCUGGACCAUGCCGCUACUCCGGAUGCUGCUGCGGUGGCGGCGGCGGCGCUGGAGGGAAUGCUGGUGGGCUCUCCUAAGUCCGGGCUUCUCGAGGUGGUCCUGGAUUCUAUAAGAAAGAAGGUUGAGCAA